UACGAAGGGGGCUAGCGUUGCGCGGAAUCACUGGGCGUAAAGGGUGCGUAGGCGGGGCUUUAAGUCAGGGGUGAAAUCCUGGAGCUCAACUCCAGAACUGCCUUUGAUACUGAGGAUCUUGAGUUCGGGAGAGGUGAGUGGAACUGCGAGUGUAGAGGUGAAAUUCGUAGAUAUUCGCAAGAACACCAGUGGCGAAGGCGGCUCACUGGCCCGAUACUGACGCUGAGGCACGAAAGCGUGGGGAGCAAACAGG
rnacentral:rRNA from 1 species